rnacentral:rRNA from 1 species
GAUGAACGCUGGCGGCGUGCCUAAUACAUGCAAGUCGAGCGAACGGACGAGAAGCUUGCUUCUCUGAUGUUAGCGGCGGACGGGUGAGUAACACGUGGAUAACCUACCUAUAAGACUGGGAUAACUUCGGGAAACCGGAGCUAACACCGGAUAAUAUUUUGAACCGCAUGGUUCAAAAGUGAAAGACGGUCUUGCUGUCACUUAUAGAUGGAUCCGCGCUGCAUUAGCUAGUUGGUAAGGUAACGGCUUACCAAGGCAACGAUGCAUAGCCGACCUGAGAGGGUGAUCGGCCACACUGGAACUGGGACACGGUCCAGACUCCUACGAGAGGCAGCAGUAGGGAAUCUUCCGCAGUGGGCGAGAGCCUGACGGAGCAACGCCGCGUGAGUGAUGAAGGUCUUCGGAUCGUAAAACUCUGUUAUGAGGGAAGAACAUAUGUGUAAGUAACUGUGCACAUCUUGACGGUACCUAAUCAGAAAGCCACGGCUAACUACGUG